rnacentral:rRNA from 1 species
GGGACAACAGUUGGAAACGACUGCUAAUACCGCAUAAUGUUUUGGAAGGGCAUCCUUCUGAAACCAAAGCUUUAUGUGCUGAGAGAUGGUCUCGCGUCUGAUUAGCUAGAUGGCGGGGUAACGGCCCACCAUGGCGACGAUCAGUAGCCGGUCUGAGAGGAUGAACGGCCACAUUGGGACUGAGAUACGGCCCAGACUCCUACGGGAGGCAGCAGUGGGGAAUAUUGGGCAAAGGGGGAAACCCUGACCCAGCAA